UACGGAAUAGCCACUGGAAACGGUGAGUAAUACCGUAUACGCCCUUCGGGGGAAAGAUUUAUCGGAUUUGGAUCGGCCCGCGUUAGAUUAGGUAGUUGGUGGGGUAACGGCCUACCAAGCCUACGAUCUAUAGCUGGUUUUAGAGGAUGAUCAGCAACACUGGGACUGAGACACGGCCCAGACUCCUACGGGAGGCAGCAGUGGGGAAUCUUGGACAAUGGGGGCAACCCUGAUCCAGCCAUGCCGCGUGAGCGAAGAAGGCCCUAGGGUCGUAAAACUCUUUCGCCUGUGAUGAUAAUGACAGUAGCAGGUGAAGAAACCCCGGCUAACUCCGUGCCAGCAGCCGCGGUAAUACGGAGGGGGUUAGCGUUGUUCGGAAUUACUGGGCGUAAAGCGCACGUAGGCGGAUUAGAAAGUUAGAGGUGAAAUCCCGGGGCUCAACCCCGGAACUGCCUUUAAAACUACUAGUCUAGAGUUCGAGAGAGGUGAGUGGAAUUCCGAGUGUAGAGGUGAAAUUCGUAGAUAUUCGGAGGAACACCAGUGGCGAAGGCGGCUCACUGGCUCGAUACUGACGCUGAGGUGCGAAAGUGUGGGGAGCAAACAGGAUUAGAUACCCUGGUAGUCCACACCGUAAACGAUGAAUGCCAGUCGUCGGGUAGUAUACUAUUCGGUGACACACCUAACGGAUUAAGCAUUCCG
rnacentral:rRNA from 1 species